CACUGUCAUUGUCCCCGUCGAGUACUCCAAGGACCUAACAGGAGGCCAGAGCCACAGAAUGAAAUGCACUUGGCUUCCAAUCAGCCUAACCAGGAACCCUUCCACUAUCUGGUGGAGCAGCAGUGAGUGAAAUCAGGUGGGUGAUUUGAGAGGCUAAACAAAAGUCCAUGGUAUCCAAGAAAGAUGAUGGCGGAGGAAACAUCAGUUUUUGAAGACUCAGCUUGCCUGAAAACAUGGUGGUGUAUUAAAGAAAACAUGUGACCGCUGAACAGACCAUCAAUCUAAUUAAGAACAGUUAAUAUCACAACAGAAAGAAAGAGAAAGAAAGAUGAUUGAAUCCCUUCUUAGUCUCUUAAUAGAGCCUUGUGAAGCCUUUCUGGAAGCUGGAGACUAACACUCUGGAGACCAAAAAAACUAAGCAAUUUUGUCAACAACUAGAGAAUGACUUGACUUUAAAACAAAAUGUUUGAAAACUAUGUCUUCCUUAACUGCCAAGACUGAGUUUGGUUUCUGGAUUUCCUUUGUAAGGACACCUGAUAUCACUUGCCUGAAAGCUUUUUAUAAUGUUGCCUGGAUUGUACCAAAUAUCUUGGAUGCUGUCUAUCAGCGCCUUACAUUGCAAUCCAGUAUUUCAAAUAUUGCAAAUCCGAACAUUUAGAUGUAGACAAGGAAGAAGUUUCCCUCCCCAAAUCUGUUAACUUGUAUGUCCAUGGAGAUAUUCUAAUAAUGAUUUUAGAUAGAUCUGACUCUGUAAAUUAAUUCUCUACAAAGUGAUGAGCUACAUCUGAAUCAUUGUGCAAUGAUAUCAAGCUCUUUUGCAGAUGUUGUAAUGGUAAAAAUAUUUGUAAAAAAUAAAAGUUUGGGUGAGGCUAGUGCUUUUGUUUUCAAAGCAGGUUCAAAUAAAUCAUUUGAAAGGAC